rnacentral:rRNA from 2 species
AGUCGAGCGCACCUUCGGGUGAGCGGCGGACGGGUUAGUAACGCGUGGGAACAUACCCUUUGGUACGGAAUAGCCUCUGGAAACGGAGAGUAAUACCGUAUGAGCCCUUCGGGGGAAAGAUUUAUCGCCAAAGGAUUGGCCCGCGUUAGAUUAGGUAGUUGGUGGGGUAAUGGCCUACCAAGCCUACGAUCUAUAGCUGGUUUUAGAGGAUGAUCAGCAACACUGGGACUGAGACACGGCCCAGACUCCUACGGGAGGCAGCAGUGGGGAAUCUUGGACAAUGGGGGCAACCCUGAUCCAGCCAUGCCGCGUGAGUGAUGAAGGCCUUAGGGUCGUAAAGCUCUUUCGCCUGUGAAGAUAAUGACGGUAGCAGGUAAAGAAACCCCGGCUAACUCCGUGCCAGCAGCCGCGGUAAUACGGAGGGGGUUAGCGUUGUUCGGAAUUACUGGGCGUAAAGCGCACGUAGGCGGACUGGAAAGUUGGGGGUGAAAUCCCAGGGCUCAACCCUGGAACUGCCUCCAAAACUAUCAGUCUAGAGUUCGAGAGAGGUGAGUGGAAUUCCGAGUGUAGAGGUGAAAUUCGUAGAUAUUCGGAGGAACACCAGUGGCGAAGGCGGCUCACUGGCUCGAUACUGACGCUGAGGUGCGAAAGUGUGGGGAGCAAACAGGAUUAGAUACCCUGGUAGUCCACACCGUAAACGAUGAAUGCCAGUCGUCGGGUAGCAUGCUAUUCGGUGACACACCUAACGGAUUAAGCAUUCCGCCU